AGUAUUUUAAUUAAUUCAGGUGCUCGGUAAAGAGCGCAAGAGGGAACUCCGUGCAAUUCGGAGACGGGCCCGCCGCUGUAACCGGGGACGAAAACCGCAGCAUGUCACUGUCCGUUUGAAACGGAUGGGAAGGCGCGGCAAGUAGGAUGAUCCGGAAGUCAGAAGACCUGCCUGAAGUUGUUGUCUUAU
rnacentral:ncRNA from 2 species